rnacentral:rRNA from 1 species
UACGUAGGGUGCGAGCGUUAAUCGGAAUUACUGGGCGUAAAGCGUGCGCAGGCGGUUUUGUAAGUCUGUCGUGAAAUCCCCGGGCUCAAUCUGGGAAUUGCGAUGGAGACUGCAAGGCUAGAAUCUGGCAGAGGGGGGUAGAAUUCCACGUGUAGCAGUGAAAUGCGUAGAGAUGUGGAGGAACACCGAUGGCGAAGGCAGCCCCCUGGGUCAAGAUUGACGCUCAUGCACGAAAGCGUGGGGAGCAAACAGGG